UACGUAGGUGGCGAGCGUUGUCCGGAUUUACUGGGCGUAAAGCGCGUGCAGGCGGUCCGUUAAGUCCAGGGUGAAAGCUCCCGGCUCAACUGGGAGAGGUCCUUGGAUACUGGCGGACUCGAGGGAGGUAGAGGAGAGUGGAAUUCCCGGUGUAGUGGUGAUAUGCGUAGAUAUCGGGAGGAACACCAGUGGCGAAGGCGGCUCUCUGGGCCUUACCUGACGCUGAGACGCGAAAGCGUGGGGAGCGAAC
rnacentral:rRNA from 1 species